rnacentral:lncRNA from 1 species
GGGCUUUAGACCUGUGUAAUCUCACCUAUAUAUUUAUUUACACUUUCAAAUAGAAUAUAUUUCUGUUUAAUCAAAAAAAAGAAAAAAAAAGGCUAGUAUAAAAUUAACGUCUUUUCGGCGAUGAAAUAAAAGAUUACAGCUUAUUUUUAGAUGUACAGAUAGCAUUUCUUCGUGAGCAAACGUGGGGACAGUGAGCUGAGAGUCUCGCAGGGUAAUGU